GGUUAAGUUAAUAAGGGCGCACGGUGGAUGCCUUGGCACUAGGAGCCGAAGAAGGACGGCACUAACACCGAUAUGCCUCGGGGAGCUGUAAGUGAGCUGUGAUCCGGGGAUUUCCGAAUGGGGAAACCCACUGUUCGUAAUGGAGCAGUAUCCAUGUGUGAAUACAUAGCACAUGAGAAGGCAGACUCAGGGAACUGAAACAUCUAAGUACCUGAAGGAAGAGAAAGCAAAUGCGAUUCCCCAAGUAGCGGCGAGCGAAACGGGAUCAGCCCAAACCAGAAGGCUUGCCUUCUGGGGUUGUAGGACACUCUAUACGGAGUUACAAAGGAACGGAUUAAGCGAAGCGACCUGGAACGGUCCGCAAGAUAGGGUAAUAGCCCCGUAGCUGAAAGUUCGUUCCCUCCAGAGUGGAUCCUGAGUACGGCGGAACACGAGAAAUUCCGUCGGAAUCCGGGAGGACCAUCUCCCAAGGCUAAAUACUCCCUAGUGACCGAUAGUGAACCAG
rnacentral:rRNA from 1 species